CUAUUCCAUUUGCACAACAGCAUGUGAAAUGUAUUGUCAAUCAGUGUUGCUUCCUAAGUGGACAGUUUGAUUUCACAGAAGUGUCAUUGACUUGGAGUUACAUUGUGUUGUUUAAGUGUUCCCUCUAUUUUUUGGGGGAGUGUAUAUACACACCUGUUUGGAAAAUAACCAGAGUCUGCAACACCACCAAGAGCAAGGGGCACCACCAAGAGCAAGGGGCACCACCAAGAGCAAGGGGCACCACCAAGAGCAAGGGGCACCAUGAAAACCAAGGAGCUCUCCAAACAGGUCAGGGAAGUUGUGGAGAAGUACAGAUCAGGGUUGGGUUCUAAAAAAUAUAUUUGAACAUUCCACGGAGCACCAUUAAAUCCAUUAUUAAAAAAUGGAAAGAAUAUGGCACAACAACAACAAACCUGCCAAGAGAGGGCCUCCCACCAAAACUCACGGACCAGGCAAGGAGGGCAUUAAUCAGAGAGGCAACAAAGAGACCAAAGAUAACCCUGAAGAGAUUGUGGAAGAGAUUGUGGAGUAUCUGUCCAUAGGACGACUUUAAGCCGUACACUCCACAGAGCUGGGCUGUACGGAAGAGUGGCCAGAAAAAAAGCCAUUGCUUUAAGAAAAAAAUUGCCAAAAGGCAUGUGGGAGACUCCCCAGACAUAUGGAAGAAGAAACUCUGGUCAGAUGAGACGAACAUGUAGCUCUUUGGCCAUCAAGGAAAAUGCUAUGUCUGGCGCAAACCCAACACCUCAUCACCCCGAGAAUAUCAUCCCCACAGUGAAGCAUGGUGGUGGCAGCAUCAUGCUGUGGGGAUGUUUUUCCAUCGGCAGGGACUGGGAAACUGGUCAGAUUUGAAGGAAUGAUGGACGACGCUAAAUAAAAUCGGGAAAAUCUUGAGGGAAACCUGUUUCAGAGAUGAGCUAAGGCUGCAGCAAGAGAAGGGGAAAUGGUCUGCGAUGCUAGCCAAUGCUCACCAUAUCAAUAUCUUUACCUUUCUGAAGGGAUAUUUGACUGUGUAGGCUAGCAUGAGGGGCAGGAAGUAGCGACCAUCAAUGACGUUUUGUUUUGAGAAUUCCGCUAACCUUGUUAGCUAGCUUUCUAUUCACUUCAAUUUCUGUCACGAUUUAUAAAAGCCAACAAAAAUGUGAACGCAAACAACAUAAUAUUUACCUACAAGGUUAGCUGUGAUAGCACAGUCACUAGUAUAUUAUAUUCUAUAUUCUAUAUUAUCUAUAUUCUAGUAUAUUCAGUGUCGGUGGUGGUGUAUUCACUCGCCUUGAAUUGUUCCUCAUUUUUUUGUUUUUACAGCCUGAAUUUAAAUGCGAUUAAAUUGAGUGUUGUCACUGGCCUACACACAAUACCCCAUAAUGUCAAAGUGGAAUUAUGUUUUUAGAAAUUGCCUCUGCUGGACAGCCAGGAAACGCUGGCUGGCUUCUCGAUGUACUUUGAGAACACAGUGCUUCACUGUCCCCUACAUUGUACAUGUGAUGUUCUGGCUUCACAUUCACACAACUGAUUUCAACUAAUCAGGGGAUUGAUUACUGUGUACUCUAUGGCCACUCUGCCACUGACUGCCCUCUCUCUGAGGUCCCACAGUAACCCCAGUGCUCUCUCUCUCUGAGGUCCCACAGUAACCCCAGUGCUCUCUCUCUCUGAGGUCCCACAGUAACCCCAGUGCUCUCUCUCUCUGAGGUCCCACAGUAACCCCAGUGCUCUCUCUGUCUGAGGUCCCACAGUAACCCCAGUGCUCUCUCUGUCUGAGGUCCCACAGUAACCCCAGUGCUCUCUCUGUCUGAGGUCCCACAGUAACCCCAGUGCUCUCUCUGUCUGAGGUCCCACAGUAACCCCAGUGCUCUCUCUGUCUGAGGUCCCACAGUAACCCCAGUGCUCUCUCUGUCUGAGGUCCCACAGUAACCCCAGUGCUCUCUCUGUCUGAGGUCCCACAGUAACCCCAGUGCUCUCUCUGUCUGAGGUCCCACAGUAACCCCAGUGCUCUCUCUGUCUGAGGUCCCACAGUAACCCCAGUGCUCUCUCUGUCUGAGGUCCCACAGUAACCCCAGUGCUCUCUCUGUCUGAGGUCCCACAGUAACCCCAGUGCUCUCUCUGUCUGAGGUCCCACAGUAACCCCAGUGCUCUCUCUGUCUGAGGUCCCACAGUAACCCCAGUGCUCU